rnacentral:lncRNA from 1 species
AUGAAGCAAGAGGAGGAUGAGCUAGCCGUGGAUCCCGGUGUCGGUGCUGUGUGCGAUCCUGUGACGAAGCUGCGGUUCGAAGCGAUCGUCUGCCUCCUGGAUAGGAUUCCGAUCACGCUGCAGCAGAUCGACAUGUUUGGCCAGGACGUGGCGUUCCGCACGAAGAGAAUUGGCAACAUAGAGGCGUUGCUCGACUUCCUCAAAGGAAGCGCGGCCGCGACAUGGGGAGCGCGCGCCGGCGCCGGCGAGCCGAUCGAUGCGUCGUCGCCGGAGCUUCACCGUCUGGUGGAGGAUGCAGAGACAGCUUACCGCGACGUCCGCGGCCUCCAACCCAGAAUGGUCGUGCAAAUGCCCCGCGUGUUCCACAAGGUGUGUCUCCCGAAGCUGCACCAGCUGCUGGUCAUCGCGCGCCGCCUCCUCGCCCAGAACGUGGCGCUCCGCCGACUUCUCCUUCAGCCAGUGGGCUGUGACGUCUCUCCCAUGGCGUUGGCCGAGGCCGCUGUAAGUUCGGACGACUUCGAGCGGCACGGCCGCAACAAGGUCGUCAUAGACGAGUUCGGCUACGAGGACCUGCUGCGCCGCCGCCACACCGGCCACGAGUCGCAGAACGAUGCGGACGACGCAGAGCAGCACGGCCGCGAGGUCAGAGAAGGCGAGUACGAGGACCUGAUCCUGAUGCGCCACCGCGACACCAGCCACGAGUUGUUGCAGGAUGAUGCGCGCCGGCGCCGCGCGGAUGCAGAGGCAGAGCAGCAAGGCGGCGACGGCGAGGUCAGAGAUGAGUACGAGGACUACCUGUGUCGCCAGCUCGGCGCCGUCUACAGCGGGCCCGAUCAAAUCUACGAGCACGACAUGCGAGGUCCGGAACCAGCACACUCGCCAAACACGCCCGACCAGAUCUACGUCCCCUGCGAAAGGAUGCUUCCCUACCCAAGCAACUGCGACAACGCCGAGGACCGGAUUCAUAUGGCAUGUCUUGCUCUCAAGAACCUGGUAAAAGACAUGGAAGGAAUCUACUCUCCUCGAGGAACCUUGUGGCAGUAUCUGGAGGACGUCAUCUCUCUUGCGCAUGCUCUGUUUCUGGAGAACACCAAGCUCCACCGGUUCACUGAUCAGGCUUCGCACCAGGACUUGCCGUUGCAGCCGCCGCAGGGCUUCCCAUUUCAACAGCAGCCGCAGCACGAUGGCUACCAGCAGCCGGGCGUCCCGUUCCAGCAACCGCAGCAAGGUGGCUACUACGGCCACGGCCAGGGCAUCAUGUUUCAGCGAGGUGGCUACCUCCAGGAUGUCCCGUUCCAGCACUGGCAGUGGCAGCAGGGUGGUUACGGACAAGGCUUCAUGUUUCCGCAGGCUCAGCAUCAAGGUGGCUACGGCCAAGGUUUCCUGUCCGAGCAGCCGCUGCCCGGUGACCCCAGCUUCAUGAACAUGCAGGCUCCUUACGACGGCGACGGGGGAGUCCUGUUCCAGAAGCCGCAGCACUAUCACCAUGGGCAUGUUCCGAGCGAGAAGGGCGCUAUUCAGGCCAAGGGGAAGCAGAAGAUGCGGGAACCAAAAACUGUCAUGUGCCCGGACUGGUGCAGAACCGGACAUUGUUCCUCUGGUGACGGGUGCGAAUAUGCUCACAGUCAAGACGAACUGCGGGUAAUCGACGCCCGCCCCAAGUACAGAACAGAGCCGUGCCGUUACUGGCUAGCUGGGAAAGGGUGCUGGUAUGGGGACAAAUGCCGGUACAAGCAGCACCGAUUAGCUCGGGAGCCACUGUAUGUCGAUCCAUUCUUGACAGGUACUACAUAUGAUAGAUUUGCUGAUUAAUUGUCAUGUU